AAAGUUGUUCUCAGUUCGGAUUGUAGUCUGCAACUCGACUACAUGAAGCUGGAAUCGCUAGUAAUCGUAGAUCAGCAUGCUACGGUGAAUACGCAAGUCGAGCGAACGGACGAGAAGCUUGCUUCUCUGAUGUUAGCGGCGGACGGGUGAGUAACACGUGGAUAACCUACCUAUAAGACUGGGAUAACUUCGGGAAACCGGAGCUAAUACCGGAUAAUAUUUUGAACCGCAUGGUUCAAAAGUGAAAGACGGUCUUGCUGUCACUUAUAGAUGGAUCCGCGCUGCAUUAGCUAGUUGGUAAGGUAACGGCUUACCAAGGCAACGAUGCAUAGCCGACCUGAGAGGGUGAUCGGCCACACUGGAACUGAGACACGGUCCAGACUCCUACGGGAGGCAGCAGUAGGGAAUCUUCCGCAAUGGGCGAAAGCCUGACGGAGCAACGCCGCGUGAGUGAUGAAGGUCUUCGGAUCGUAAAACUCUGUUAUUAGGGAAGAACAUAUGUGUAAGUAACUGUGCACAUCUUGACGGUACCUAAUCAGAAAGCCACGGCUAACUACGUGCCAGCAGCCGCGGUAAUACGUAGGUGGCAAGCGUUAUCCGGAAUUAUUGGGCGUAAAGCGCGCGUAGGCGGUUUUUUAAGUCUGAUGUGAAAGCCCACGGCUCAACCGUGGAGGGUCAUUGGAAACUGGAAAACUUGAGUGCAGAAGAGGAAAGUGGAAUUCCAUGUGUAGCGGUGAAAUGCGCAGAGAUAUGGAGGAACACCAGUGGCGAAGGCGACUUUCUGGUCUGUAACUGACGCUGAUGUGCGAAAGCGUGGGGAUCAAACAGGAUUAGAUACCCUGGUAGUCCACGCCGUAAACGAUGAGUGCUAAGUGUUAGGGGGUUUCCGCCCCUUAGUGCUGCAGCUAACGCAUUAAGCACUCCGCCUGGGGAGUACGACCGCAAGGUUGAAACUCAAAGGAAUUGACGGGGACCCGCACAAGCGGUGGAGCAUGUGGUUUAAUUCGAAGCAACGCGAAGAACCUUACCAAAUCUUGACAUCCUUUGACAACUCUAGAGAUAGAGCCUUCCCCUUCGGGGGACAAAGUGACAGGUGGUGCAUGGUUGUCGUCAGCUCGUGUCGUGAGAUGUUGGGUUAAGUCCCGCAACGAGCGCAACCCUUAAGCUUAGUUGCCAUCAUUAAGUUGGGCACUCUAAGUUGACUGCCGGUGACAAACCGGAGGAAGGUGGGGAUGACGUCAAAUCAUCAUGCCCCUUAUGAUUUGGGCUACACACGUGCUACAAUGGACAAUACAAAGGGCAGCGAAACCGCGAGGUCAAGCAAAUCCCAUAAAGUUGUUCUCAGUUCGGAUUGUAGUCUGCAACUCGACUACAUGAAGCUGGAAUCGCUAGUAAUCGUAGAUCAGCAUGCUACGGUGAAUACGUUCCCGGGUCUUGUACACACCGCCCGUCACACCACGAGAGUUUGUAACACCCGAAGCCGGUGGAGUAACCUUUUAGGAGCUAGCCGUCGAAGGUGGGACAAAUGAUUGGGGUGAAGUCGUAACAAGGUAGCCGUAUCGGAAGGUGCGGCUGGAUCACCU
rnacentral:rRNA from 1 species